AGAGUUUGAUUAUGGCUCAGGAUGAACGCUAGCGAUAGGCAUAACACAUGCAAGUCGAGGGCAGCACAUGAAGUAGCAAUACGGAUGGUGGCGACCGGCGCACGGGUGAGUAACGCGUAUGCAACCUGCCUACAACAGGGGAAUAACCCGUUGAAAGACGGACUAAUACCCCAUAACACAGGGAUCCCGCAUGGGAAUAUUUGUUAAAGAUUUAUCGGUUGUAGAUGGGCAUGCGUUCCAUUAGCUUGUUGGUGAGGUAACGGCUCACCAAGGCAACGAUGGAUAGGGGAACUGAGAGGUUUAUCCCCCACACUGGUACUGAGACACGGACCAGACUCCUACGGGAGGCAGCAGUGAGGAAUAUUGGUCAAUGGACGCAAGUCUGAACCAGCCACGUCGCGUGAAGGAAGACGGCCCUACGGGUUGUAAACUUCUUUUGUAAGGGAAUAAAGUGUAGUACGUGUACUAUUUUGCAUGUACCUUACGAAUAAGGAUCGGCUAACUCCGUGCCAGCAGCCGCGGUAAUACGGAGGAUCCGAGCGUUAUCCGGAUUUAUUGGGUUUAAAGGGUGCGCAGGCGGGAGAUUAAGUCGGCGGUGAAAUUUUGCAGCUCAACUGUAAAAGUGCCUUCGAAACUGGUUUCCUUGAGUGUGGAUGAAGUAGGCGGAAUUUGUGGUGUAGCGGUGAAAUGCAUAGAUAUCACGAGGAACUCCGAUUGCGCAGGCAGCUUACUAAACCAUAACUGACGCUCAGGCACGAAGGCGUGGGGAUCAAACAGGAUUAGAUACCCUGGUAGUC
rnacentral:rRNA from 1 species